AUUGAACGCUGGCGGCAUGCUUUACACAUGCAAGUCGAACGGCAGCAUGGGUGCUUGCACCUGAUGGCGAGUGGCGAACGGGUGAGUAAUGUAUCGGAACAUAUCCGCAAGUGGGGGAUAACGUAGCGAAAGUUACGCUAAUACCGCAUAUUCCCUGAGGGGGAAAGGAGGGGAUCCGCAAGGACCUUUCGCUUACGGAGUGGCCGAUAUCAGAUUAGCUAGUUGGUGAGGUAAAGGCUCACCAAGGCUUCGAUCUGUAGCGGGUCUGAGAGGAGGAUCCGCCGCACUGGGACUGAGACACGGCCCAGACUCCUACGGGAGGCAGCAGUGGGGAAUUGUGGACAAUGGGGGCAACCCUGAUCCAGCCAUGCCGCGUGAGUGAAGAAGGCCUUCGGGUUGUAAAGCUCUUUCAGCUGGAAAAAAAUCGCUUCACCUAAUACGUGGAGUGGAUGAUGGUACCAGCAGAAGAAGCACAGGCUAACUACGUGCCAGCCGCCGCCGUAA
rnacentral:rRNA from 1 species